rnacentral:rRNA from 1 species
ACUCAAAUGAAUUGACGGGGGCCCGCACAAGCGGUGGAGCAUGUGGUUUAAUUCGACGCAACGCGAAGAACCUUACCUGGGUUUGACAUGCAUCGGACCGGUGGUGAAAGCCACCUUCUCUUCGGAGCCGGUGCACAGGUGCUGCAUGGCUGUCGUCAGCUCGUGUCGUGAGAUGUUGGGUUAAGUCCCGCAACGAGCGCAACCCUCGUCCUCUGUUGCUACCGGGUAAUGCCGGGCACUCUGAGGAGACUGCCCCGGUGAACGGGGAGGAAGGUGGGGAUGACGUCAAGUCCUCAUGGCCUUUAUAUCCAGGGCUACACACGUGCUACAAUGGUCAGGACAAUGGGUCGCUCCCUCGCAAGAGGUUGCCAAUCUCAAAAACCUGAUCCUAGUUCGGAUGGUCGGCUGCAACUCGCCGGCCUGAAGCUGGAAUCGCUAGUAAUCGGAGAUCAGCACGCUCCGGUGAAUACGUUCCCGGGCCUUGUACACACCGCCCGU